rnacentral:lncRNA from 1 species
AUAAAAAAUCUCGGUAUUAAUUAGAGUGGGUAAUACUAUUUAAACUUCUUCACCCCACCGAUGCGGGACAGUUUAACAUCUUGAUCAUCUUCUCCACUCCUCACUCUGUUAGUCCUAUACAAUUCAUCCAUCGCCUGGGGACUGACCUUGGGCUUUUCAGCUGCCAAGCAACUCCAGCAUCUGUUCUGAAUAAAAUCAAAGUUGUAAUUAAGGAGUUCGGUGAAAAUAAAAAAGAUGAUCAAGGUUGAAGUAAUUCACAAAGAAAUUAUUAAACCAUCCUCCCCAACCCCUCACCACCUUAGACAUUUGGGUCUCUCCCUUUUUGACCAGUUUAUACUUGAACUGUACAUGCCACAAGUUCUCUUCUAUCCUAGCAGCAGUGAUGAACAUUCUUUGGUUGCUGAAAAAUCCGAGCUUCUAAAGAAAUCAUUAUCUGAGGCCCUCACUGUCUUCUACCCUUUUGCAGGGGAAUUCAAAUAUAACGUUUCCAUCAACUGCGAUGACCGCGGAGCUCUAUUUCUUGAAGCCCGAGUCAACUGUCCCAUGUCCAAGAUCCUGGACAAACCCGAUUCUGAGAUCCUGAGACAGCUGAUUGCAGCUCCUAUGCGUUCCAAACAAGCACAAGUAGGGCAUCUUGUACUAAUCCAGGCCAACGUAUUCGAAUGUGGUGGAUUGGCAAUUGGCGUCAGCAUUUCUCAUAAGGUCGCCGAUGCCGUAGUGUACAGCAAAUUCAUCGAAAGCUGGGCUGAAAUUGCCCGCUGCACUGCCAGCACUACUGACCAUCACGUAGUACUUCCUACAGAAUUUGGUGUCGCAGCUACUUUGUUCCCACCACAAGAAUUUUUUAACUCACCGAAGACCCCACUCACGCUACCUUUUAUUGACAAUGUUAUCGGAAGGAGGCUUGUGUUUGAUGCCUCAAAGAUUGCUGCUCUCAAGGCCAAAGCUGCCAGUGCCACAGUGCCAAAUCCGACUCGAGUUGAAGCAGUUUCCGCGCUCAUUUGGAAAUCCGCAACGGAAGCAUCAAGAUCCAACUUGGGUUUUGCAAGGCCAUCCACAUGGCGGUCCGCUGUGAACCUGAGGAAAAUAUUGGCUCAGCCCUUCGCAGAAAACUUACAGGGAAAUUUUGUGUAUUUUACCAUGCCGAAGAUUGAAGAACAUGAAGUAUAUGAUCUUCAAACCUUGGUUGCAAAAAUGAGGAAAAGCGUUGAGGAACUUAAGGUAAAAUAUGCCAAAGAAAUUAGAGGGGAGGAAGUAGUUCAAUUCCUGAAGGAGUAUAGUGAGCUCGUUCAAAAGGAUGAUAUGGACAACUAUUUUUGCACCAGUUUGUGUGGGUUUCCUUUCGGCUCGGCCAAUUUUGGAUGGGGAAAGGCAUCAUGCAUACGUAUCCCUUGGAAUGAAGAUUUCAAAAACAGAAUGUUAUUGUUGGAUGCAAGUGAUGGCAUUGGCAUCGAUGCAUACAUAACACUGAAAAAAGAAGAUAUGGUCAUGAUUGAAACCAACCAGGACCUGCUUGCAUAUGCUUCUCUGCAUUAGACCAUUACUGAAAGGUAAAUCUCGUCUAAUCCUUCUCUAUAAUUACUUAAUAAAUAAAAGGUUUGCUUCCCCAAGUCAUUGGAGAUUCAAACUAUAAAUAUCUUUCAAAUGUCGGGAAAUAAAAUACAAUUAGACUAAGAGCUAGUUGCCAGUGUUCUUGAGCAUUUAGAGUUUGUUUGGAUACUAUGUUGUAACCUUUCGUGAUUUCUUUUGUUGCUUUUGAUUCCACAAUUUCCUUGUUUUGCGUGAACAGUGAGUAAUGUAUUGCUUUUACUAUCGACUUUAUUUUUCUUUCAAUAAAAUGGAUUUGUUUUAUUGCGUAUGCCUAAGAAAAUAUAGAUCCCUAACAAAAGAAAAUGAAAAGAGUGCUGAGAAUGCUUUUCUAUCAACAAAAAAAAAAAAGACAAAUUGACUAAGAAUGCUUUCAAGUAAUUUAAAACAAGGUUACAACACGUGUGAUAAUAUAAUGGACGAUUGGGUUGAUAAAUUCUAUUUUAAGUAGGACUCUUAUAAAACUGGUUCACCGCCACCCGAAAACCCCAAUUAUAUAACAAUGGCCCAAAACCUGCUGGAUAAAAGAGGCACGAUGAAUAAAGGGUAAUGGGAGAAGAUGAGUUGAUGUCGUCUAUUCCACCCCGCCGUGAGGGAGGCAUGCAGGCAAUGGAGGAUCUAAGAUUCGAAACUUGGGUGUCCCAACAUUAAACGUUCACGUUUUUUAAAGAAACAAAGUGCGGAGCGUGUUAAAAAAAUUCAUUUGAUCCAACUGAGGCAUUUUGUCGAACACUUAGUGGGUUUAUUGACGAAACCAGACCAAGUUGUUGCCUAUAUGUCAACAAGUUACGAUAUAUGCUAAAGCAAUCUGAAUAAUGCUAUCAAUAAUAUAUGUCGAGUGAUGUUGAUGUAGUCUGUCGAGAUAUGCGUACAUACCAAACAAUCAAAGGAUCUUCAGAGGAUCUUCAUAUGCGUGUUUUCCACCCUCCGAGUGGUCCUAAGACCACUUUGGUUCCAAUUUACAUCCACCCUUGCGGUGGGUGGAGUUCAAGAAUUCUUGUUGUUGUGUAGCUUUUUUUGCUUAUCCAUUUGUGUAUCUUAUAUUUUGUUUUCUUAAGUAAAUGACUAGGGGUGUGCUAUCCACACACUAUUUUUUACUUCUCACAUAUCCUCUUAAUUUUCGGUCGUUGGAUCAAAUGGAUUGAAGAAUAUCAAAUGACAAAAAUUAAAGGGGUGUGUGGAUAUCACACCCCAAAUGACUAAUGUUGAUGGGGAAAAAUAUGAUUGGCUAAUAACAUUUUGAUGUCAUAUAGUCAUCACAAUCUAAUAAUCUAGUCUCAUCUAAGACUAAUAUAUAGAAGUAAAGAUAAGUAUGUGAAAAACAUCUCAUCGUUAUAAGUUAAAGGGAGCUAAAGUGGUAUUUGAGAUUGGGAUAACUCUCACUUUAGUCCUGAUAAUAAAAAUCGAUAAAAAUGAUCCGGUCAUGAAAAUUAUUUUAUUUUUUCUGGAAAAAAAUCUGUCAAUCUUCUAAUAACUUUUUUAUGUAGUAUUCACCGAAAAGAAGAAGAAGAGGAAAGAAAGAGUUAUGAAACCUUUUUAUGUAGUAUUCACCGGAAAGAAGAAGAAGAAGAAGAAGAAGAAGAAGAAGAAAGAAAGAAAGAAUGUCAUAACUCAUAAUCCCAUCAUAGCCGAUUGCACCGCUGCCCUCCGCCGCCUCGCCCAACUCUAAAAUACCUUUUCGGCUAAGUCAAACCAGCAGCAGCACGCCUUAGCUUAAGGGUGGAAAAAAUUCCUAAAAAUCCCAAACCAAACCGAAAAAAUCGCAAUCCCAAACCAACAAUUUCCCAAACCGAAAUUUCAUUCGGGAUUGGCUUCUCUAUAUUUCGGGAAUCCCAUACCAAACCAAAAAUAUAUAUUAUUAAUUAAUAUAUAUAUAUACAUAUAUAUAUAUAUAUAUUAUAUAUUAUUCUUUUAUAAUUGAUGCUAGUUGACACACCCCGAUCCUGAAAUCAGGGCAUGCUAGCCGCCACGUGAGCGUGACGUAACCAUAAGUGCGAUACGGAAGCAAAGGGAAUAAGAAAUACGAAGGAAUAAAAACCAACUACUAGCAGUAUUAGAGUGAGUUAAAGUGUGCAAUACACGAUUUCAGAGCAUAAAAACUAGGUGUAGUCAAGUAGGACUAUAUUUAAAUUACAACACCCGCAGGUGAGUCCUACAUGCAGGAAGUCUGUCAGAACGUCAAAGAAAACCUCGUGAGCCACCAAUUGCUAACUAGAACCUGGAAGGGCGCAAAAACAAAAUUGAGCGGGUCAGUAAAACCAAAGUUUUCAAAAACAUUUCAUUUAAAACGUUUCUAACCCCUCGCUGUAAAACCUGUAUACUUCCCCAGAAAAAUAGUAUAUAAACAUAUAUAUAUCAUCAAAAGCUCAACUCACAAUCCUUCAUCGCUUUUCAGAAAGAAUAUGCCAUGCCAUGCCAAAAUAUAAUAAGAAUGUAUCAAUACAAAUCAGGUGAAAUAAUAAAUCAACCGGAGACCCUACAAUGGUCCUGUACGGCUGAUUCUAUAGCUCAAUAUCCCAUCCAGCCGGAGUCACCAACUGUGAUCUGUACGGCCCUGCCGAAGUCACCAACUGUGACCUGUACUGCACUACACUGCACUUAAGUCGGAACUACCUAUAGUAGUCUGUACGACUAUGAUGGUGAAUUAAUACGCUCUAGUGCUUCUCUCAUUAAUCAUCUGUGCAUAUAAUCUAAGGUCACCUACUAGUCGGAACCACCUCUAGUGGUCUGUACGACUAGCAUGUCGGAACCCUCACAUGGUCUAUACGACAUGCACCAACUUGGAUCCAAGGUGAGCGUGCGGUGCGGUGAAUAAUAUGAGCACUAACACCAGGGGUGUAGGUUAUGAGCUCUCAACACAAUUCACAUCAUCAAUGAUUCACAUGAAUAACAUAAAACUCACCUGAUACUCACCUAUGCGUCCACAGCACCAAUUCACAUAAAUAUGCAUCAAUUAUCAAUCCAUAUAAUUUAUAAUAUGCAUGCUUGGCAAUUGAAAACAUACUUUCAUAUAAAUUCAAUUUCUGGGAACAUUAAUAGUAUAUAGGUAAUACGAAAAACAAAACUGCCCACUCACUGGUAAGUCGAUGGGUCGUAACCCCCGUGAUGUCCCUGGAUGCGCUCGUCCUCGGGAUAGGUGUCACCUAUAUGCGAAACAACUAUAAAAAAGUUAAUUAAUGCACAUAACCGAUAAUUUGAAAUAACUUCUCAUACGGUGCUCAAUUUGGGUAUAUGAAUAUACCACAUCGACCUACUCGACGUCACGAACGUUGAGAAAGUUUUAGAAAUUUUUUUUGACGUGGCACGCGCCCCCACGCGCCAGGGCAGCACGGGUACAUGCGCCCCCCACGCGCGUCUUCUUCCUUGGUUCGCCGGACUGUGUUUUCCGGUGGCUGGAAAACUGGGGAUUUUUCAAUCCCCUUGUUCUCCCUCAUUUCUUAACCGUUUUCUUCGUAUUUUAUAUCAAUUUGAAGCCCUCAACAUGUAGAAUCAUGAUAGACUAGUUUCAAGGUCUAAAAUCCACUAGAUUUUACCUGAGAAAGCUCGAUAAUCCGGCCAAAUUUGAAAAACUCCGUUCUCAGUCCUUCAACGUCCAAAUUCUACCAACGAAGUACCCCGAAGCUCGUGAGGAUCUCCUUAAGCUCACUGUGAGCUUGAAAUUCCCUGAAAUGCAAGAUUUUACCUGUGCAUGAACAAUGCACAUUUUCGGGGUUAGGGUUUCACGACAAUUCUGAGGGUUUUAACUUCCACAAAUCACAUAUACGAACUCACAAGCUUACUAGGAGUUCAAAUCUUACCUUAGAACCUUCGAUCCGUGAAGAAAUGGGAGGUUCUUAGCUUGUCCGUACAAUUCGAGAGGGAGAGAGAGAGAAAGCCGUGAGGGAGGAGAGAGAGAAACACGGGGGAGGGAGAGAGGGAAGGAAGUGUGUGUGUGUGGUCUAUCACAACCCCUCACCAUCCAUUUCUUUUUCCUAACUCCCUAACCACAUAAAUUACAAACCAACAUUUUAAUCUCACUUAAGUUAUUUCCCAAAGCUUAUGAAAAUUUAGUCUAAAUAAUAUGUCACACACACACACAUACCUUAAUACCCGUCAAGGGUGAUUCCGCCAUUUCAUGUCCCCGAUAUAAAGAAUCAUAGGACGGGCUGUGACACUAGUAGUUUCUAAUUGAUGUCUUGUAUUUGUACCAUACUUUACCAAUACCGAAACUACUGAGCAUCGGUCAACGUUAUACCGUCAAGGACCUAGAAGAGUUUCCCUCCAACCAGGAGGCCAAUCACAGCGCGACACGUGUCGACAUCAGAAGCCAAUCAUAGCGCGACAUGUGUUAACAUCAGAAGCCAAUCACAACACAACACGUGUCAAUGUCAGAAUGAAACUAGAAACUCUCUUCUAUAAAUAGAGAUCAUUCUCUCACAAUAUUUCUGAAUGUCAUUUGUACUAAAUCAUUCAUUAGUACUCACUAAAGGAGAGCUUGAACUUAUGUACUUGUGUAAACCCUUCACAAUUAAUGAGAACUCUUCUACUCCGUGGACGUAGCCAAUCUGGGUGAACCACGUACAUCUUGUGUUUGCUUCCCUGUCUCUAUCCAUUUACAUACUUAUCCACACUAGUGACCGGAGCAAUCUAGCGAAGGUUACAAACUUAACACUUUCUGUUGUACCAAAGUCCUAAUUGAUUUUGUGCAUCAACAUUUGGCGCCGUUUGUGGGAACGACACUUAUUCCCACUAUCUUCAGCUUUGUCAAGCUGGUUUCCACCAUUCGUACACUCUCUUUUGACCAGGCAUCCCUCUCCAACAUGGGGAGCGAAUGAAGCCAUAACACACAGAAUGACACCCCUCUUGCACCUAGUGCGAAGCAACGAAAGAAGGAAGGAAAUAGGGUUGCUCUUUAAGCUAAAGUCUAUGAGCUAGAAGCUCAGAACAACAAGAUAGCAAUGAAGAAUGAGGUCCUCCAGGAGCAGUAUGAGAAGCUAUUUGAGACACUCCACGAAACUAGGCAUACUCAAACACGCGAGCUCGUUGCCCUUGUGGACAUCAACCAUCAUCUAGGUGCCCUCCAACACGGAAGAUUACCUUCCUUCGACAUGGGUAUCCCUGAUGAAGAGUGAGCUAAUCAUCAAAACAUUGAUCAACAUGAGACAUCUCUCAACCCAGCUGCUUCGACCCGAAGCAGGAGAAGUGGAGGAAGACACCUCCUUGCAGAAGGGUUGGAAUGAUCGAAAGCCGUUUAUCGUGACUGCUUAGACUUCCUAAAGCAACGUCGAAAGAAUCCCCUCCACAUAUGCUUGAAGAUCAAUGACCUAAGGGUUUCUGAAAGACUCGGUCUCCUCUCACGACCCAGGCCAUCUGCCAAUCUAGGGAAGGAACGACAGGUCCUAGAGGGACAUGAAGGUAUAGGGGACUCUGAAAUAUUCCGACAGACUAGCCUUAGAAGUCAGUACGGCGAGUCCAAGGAAAAAUCACACGCAUUUGCUCAAACUUUCCUACUUCCAAGAGGCGAUGGAGACUUACGAAAGAAAAUCCCAGUGGUACAUGACUCUACUCAGGACCCCCUUGUCCUACAGCUCCUUGAGGAAGUAAACAAGUUGAAGGCCGAACGUCAGGUUGAGAUACCUGAUUGGAACCAACCUAGGCCUGGCCCUCUCACAAGGAGGAUCCUCGACACCCCCUUCAAGCAAAGACAAAACAAAAGCUUGGUUUACAACUCUAUACUGGAAGGGAAGACCCAAUUGAACACCUUAACCUCUUUGAGUCCACCAUGGCAUAUCGGAUGCACACCGAUGAAGAACGAUGUCUUCUCUUCCCCUCCACCCUCUCUGGCGGAGCUCUAAACUGGUAUUGCCGUCUUCCACCUGAGACUCAUUUGAGGAACUGAGGAAACUGUUUGUCUCUCAACACAUCUUCCAGACCGAUCGCUUGCAUUCUGCAGAUGACUUGUACACUAUUCGCUAGAAGCCGGACGAGUCACUACGAGAGUAUGCCGGUCAUUUCAGCCAUGAGUAUUCUCGCUGUGCUGAGGCAGAUGACAAGACCGUCCUCAAGGCUUUCACGGUAGGCCUACGUGAUUGUUUCUUCAAGUACAUGAUCAAUGCCAACACUUAGAAGACUUACUCUAAGGUGAUGGCACAUGCUUACAACCAUGCCUCCGCCGAGGCAAUGACAUAUCAAGGGAAACCCCCCACAACCACCCAUUAUCAGCAAGUAGGGAGUGGAAGCCAGAUCAAACCAAAUGAGAAGACCUCGACCUUCCAAACGGCAACGGUGCCUCCCCCUACCUAACUUAAUACUUUGCCAAGUCAACAGACAUAUCAAUCUCAGGGCAAAAUGAAAGAUUUUCAUCAUCACCAGUCUCAUUUUAGUAAAAGGAGUAAGGGACACUACUGUGAUAACCAAGGGUAUCGCCAUGAUAAUCCCCGACCCCAGGCAGUCAACACAGUGGGUCAAGCACGUGUCAGGACAACCCCUACCCCGAGGUAUGAGGCAUACACACCUUUAAACACCACGUUCAUGGCCAUUUACCCCAGUAUAACACAUUUGAUAUCGAAGCCAAAGCCGAGGUACCCGGAUUACAAGCCCACGAUGAACACGAGCAUGUUUUGCUGUUACCACGAGCAUAACGGCCAUGACGGCGAGAAGUGUAUCACUCUUCGUGAUCAUAUUGAAGCUUUGGCACGUGAAGAAAAAAUUGAUCAAUUCCUCCUUCACCCUCCAAGGGGUAACCGUAACCAACGCUAGGUAAAUGUGAUAUAUUCCAUAAGUGGUGGCACACCUAUAUCUAAAUCUUCCAACAGGGCCAUGAAAAAUAGUGAAUGAAGUUUAAGGUCUGGCCAUCAAGUGUUUCACGAUGAAGACAUCAAGGGAGGUAAGUAUCAAAAGCCUAACUAGGAUCCAAUAUGUUUCUACCCUAAGGAAGAAAGAGGUAUCAUCUACCCUCACAACGACCCACUGAUCGUAGAAGCUCACAUAGCCAACUUUGAAGUACGACGAAUCCUGGUAGACACAGGAGCUUCGGUCAAUAUCAUGUUUGCUGAAGCUUUCAGGGCACUUAAUGUAGCUGAACACUUACUCGACCGUUCGAUUUCCCCUCUGAUAAGCUUCUCCGGUGAUAUCGUGCAACCUUUGGGGAGCAUACACUUACUUUUCACCAUUGGUACAGGCCCUUAUACAGCUACCAUUACCACUAACUUCCUGGUGGUUGAUUGCCUAACAACAUACAAUGUCAUCUCCGGACGCACAGGCAUCAAUGAUUUCAAGGCCAUGGUAUUCACAUAUAUGUUGUUGAUGAAAUUUCCAACCCCUUAUGGCAAUGGUUACAUCAAAGGAGAUCAACUUAGUGCACGAUCAUGUUACAACAUUUCGGUCAAGCAACAACACCUGCAUGUGCCCAAGGAAACCAUUUCUAUACAUGACCAAGUCAUAAAGACCAGCCCAGACAAAGCAAACUUAGAUCUUCACGGUGGCAAUAGUCAACCCGACGAUCCUCGAGAUGACUCUUUCACCCAGCAAGCACAACCCGCUGAAGAGUUGGAGAAGGUCUCUAUCUUAAAAGAUUAUCCGGAUCGCAUGGUGAAGAUUGGUACCACCUUGUCACCACCCAUUCAGUUGGCAUUGAUCUAUUUUUUGCAAGAGAACACUGAGGUCUUCGCCUGGUCAUACGAGGACAUGCUAGGCAUCUCUCAUGAUAUAAUCUAUUAUCGUUUAAGUAUUGACCCCAAGACUAAGCCAAUGAGACAGAAGCGAAGAUCUUAUGACGCUGAACGGUACGAGGUAAUGAAGCCAGAAGUUGAAAAACUCAAAGGCAUAGGCUUCGUCCGUGAAGUCAAUUAUCCAACGUGGGUAGCAAAUGUUGUCUUUGUUAAGAAGAAUCCGACCAAGGAAAAUCUCAUACUCCAAAAGGUUGCCCGAAUGACAUCUUUCCUCUUCCUCUCAUAAACAGACUUAUAGACUCUACGGCAGGGUGUGAACUCUUGAGCUUCAUGGAUGCUUACUCAGGAUACAACCAAAUCCUCAUGAACCCUCCGGACCAAGAACACAAAGCCUUCACUACUGAUAGGGGACUAUAUUGCUAUAAAGUCAUGCCUUUCAGCCUAAAGAAUGCAGGAGCGACUUAUCAGAGACUGGUCAAUUCAAUGUUCACCGAACAGAUUGGGAAGAGCAUGGAAGUUUACGUUGAUAAUAUGCUAGUCAAAAUCAAACAUGCUGACCAACAUAUCACCAACCUAUCUGAAACUUUCACCAUCCUGAAAAGGUAUCGAAUGAGGUUGAACCCCAACAAAUGUGCCUUAGGCGUAUGCUCUGGCAAAUUCUUAGGCUUCAUGAUAAGCCAACGAGGCAUUGAGGCUAACCCGAGAAGAUCAAAGCAAUCCUCGACAUGAAGGAACCGGUAACUUCAAAAGACAUCCAGAACCUUACUAGCAAGGUGGCAGCCUUAACUAGGUUCAUCUCUAAGGCCACAAACAGAUGCGCUCCUUUCUUCAAAGCACUUAAAGGAAGUAAGAAGUACAUUACAUGGACUGAUGAAUGUGCUGAGGCAUUCAAGAACCUCAAAGACUACAUAAGUAAAGCCCAUUUGCUCUCCAAACCUGAGGUUGGUGACACUCUCAUUAUCUAUCUGUUGGUAUUGGCUUCAGCAGUAAGUUUCGUUCUCAUUCGAAAUGAUGGUAAUGUCGAACGGCCUGUCUACUACACUAGCAAAGCCUUACAAGAUGCGGAGACACGAUACUCCAACAUUGAGAAAUUGGCUCUAGCAUUGGUCAUGUCUGCUCGAAAACUUCGCCCUUACUUCCAAGCACACUCCAUCAUCGUGCUUACCAAUCAUCAUCUUCGAUAAAUACUCUAAAGUCUUGACACUUCCGGGCGAAUGAUCAAAUAGGCAAUAGCAUUGGGUGAGUUUGACAUCUCCUACCAACCAAACCCAGCUGAGAAGGGCCAAUCAGUGGCAGACUUCAUAUAUCCUGUUGACAUUGUUUCUACACCUAAAGAAGUGGUUUCAUUACCCUCGGAAGCUCAGAAAAUAGAACCAACAGCCCCAGCAUGGAGUCUAUAUGUUGAUGGCUUGUCCAACCAACAGGGUUGUGGAGCAGGACUAGUCCUUACGACCCCUGACAAAGUGGCGAUAGAGUAUGCUCUUUGUUUCAAAUUCAAGGCGUCGAACAAUGAGGCCGAAUAUGAAGCCCUUCUAGCAGGCUUACGUUUGGCCAAACACCUUGGGGUUAAACGAAUUGAUAUCUUCAGUGACUUCCAAUUGGUGGUUAACUAGGUCACCAACAACUUUGACGCUAAAGAUAGCUCAAUGGCAGCAUAUCUGGCAUAACACAAUUGUUGCUCAAGCACUUCCACUACCAGAUCACCCAAAUUCCUUGAGCGGCAAACAGUCAUGCAGAUGCUUUGGCUCGCCUCGCCUCAGUGGUGGAAGACAAGAUUAGGAGAAAAAUUCAGGUCAAAUUGUUAGCAGCACCAAGCACCAUGGCUGCGGAAGUGUACAACUUACAACAAGGAGAUAGUUGGAUUACCUCGAUUUAUAUAUUCCUUGCUCAUGGCACCCUUCCAAAUGACAAAGUCCAACAUAAGCAGAUUCGAUACAAGGUUACCCGUUACUUGAUCAUUAAUGACCAACUCUACAAGCGGGGAUUUAACCUACCAUACCUAAGAUGCCUUACGCCCGCAGGGGCCGAAACUGUCCUUUGGGAAAUACAUAAAGGAGUCUGCGGAGAUCAUGCUAGAUCUUGAUCCCUAGCACACAAGGCUUUUCGCCAAAGAUAUUACUAGCCAACACUCCACCAAGAUGCCAUCAGAAUAUUCCGCUCAUGUGAUAAGUGUCAACGCUACGCAACUAUUCCUCACUCCCCUUCCAAGCCACUCACUCCUAUGAUCAGCCCUUGGCCCUUCGCCCAAUGGGGACUUGAUUUGAUCAGCCCAAUGCAUGUAGGGAAGGGCAAGGUUCGCUAUGCAAUCGUUGCAGUUGACUACUUCACAAAGUGGGCCGAAGUAGAACCCUUGGCAACCAUUACAGAGGUAAAAAUAAAAGACUUCGUAUGGAAGAACAUCCUUUGCAGAUUUCGCAUUCCCAAUGCGAUAGUCACUGACAACGGGCAACAGUUCGACAACAAUAAGUUCAGGAUGUUCUGCUCUAAGUUCAACAUCAACUUAUGUUUUGCCUCCCCAAUUCAUCCCCAGUCUAAUGGACAAGUUGAAGCCAUCAACAAAAUAAUCAAGCGAACUUUGAAAACCAGCUUGGACAAGGCUAAAGGUUGUUGGCCAGAAUUUGUACCCCAAGUUCUUUGGUAUACCGCACUUCGUAUCGGACAUCAACAGGAGAAACCCCAUUCUCACUUGCCUUUGGUACAGAGGCAGUGGUCCCAGUUGAGCUUGAUCAAGCAAUGUUCUGAGUCCAGAACUACGUCCAAAGUGAAAAUGACAAACAACUUACCUUCAACUUAGAUCUAGUCGAGGAACACAGAAACCAGGCUCACUUGAGGAAUGUCGCCUACAAGCAGCACAUCUCCGACUACUAUGACUCAAGGGUCAAACCUCGUUCUUUCAAAGUGGGGGACUGGGUAUUGAAGAAAAGAUUACUCUGCGAUAGAGUCCCAAGUGAAGGAAUACUUAGUUCAAACUGGGAUGGACCGUUUGAAGUUGUUGGCAUCAAUCACCCUGGCUCUUACAAGCUUAGAAGCUUCGAUGGCAAGACCCUUAGCCAUCCAUUGAACGUUGAUCACUUAAAGUACUAUGACAAGUAAACUCACAUUGUACAAGUGUUAAGCUUCAGCCGUUCGUCAUCCUAUGUAACGAAGACUAUUUGGCAUGAAUUCAAUAAAAAGGUGAUUUAGACAACUCGAUCCUAAUCCUCUUACAUUCCUAGCAAUGAAACACUCGGGUUCAAAGCUUCAACAUGAAUACUUCCAACAUGAAACAAAGUCUAAGUAUAUGUCAACAAGACUAUACAAAUAAACGAACAACUUCACAGUAUAUUCGUUCAAUCAUACAUUCUAACACAUUCAUACAUAAGCCAACUGUGCUUUGAAAGGGUUCAACAUAUUUUGUGUCAUUCGACACUUGCUACAAUGUGCCUAGACAUCUUGCCCUUAUUCUUACCAACCAAGUGAUGAAAUGUGAAGAAGGAACUCAUCUUCAUGCCACCAACUAGGUGAUGAAAUGUACAACCCGUACUCUCCUUUAUGCCACCAACCAGGUGAUGACAUGUACAACCCAUACUCUAAUAUCAUUUAGCAACUUGCCACUCAUGCCAACAACCAGGUGAAGAAGGAACUCAUCUUCAUGCCACAAACUAGGUGAUGAAAUGUACAACCCGUACUCUCCUUCAUGCCACCAACCAGAUGAUGAAAUGUACAACCCGUACUCUAAUAUCAUUUGGCAACUUGCCACUCAUGCCACCAACCAGGUGAAGAAUGAACUCAUCUUCAUGCCACCAACCAGGUGAUGAAAUGUACAACCCGUACUCUCCUUCAUGCCACCAACCAGGUGAUGAAAUGUACAAUCCGUACUCUAAUAUCAUUUGGCAACUUGCCAUUCAUGCCACCAACCAGGUGAUGAAAUGUACAACCCGUACUCUAAUAUCAUUCGGCAACUUGCCACUCAUGCCACUAACCAGGUGAAGAAUGAACUCAUCUUCAUGCCACCAACCAAGUGAUGUAAUGUACAACCCGUACUCUAAUAUCAUUUGGCAACUUGCCAUUCAUGCCACCAACCAGGGGAAAAAAGAAUUCACCUUCGUACCACCAACCAAGUGAUGAAAGCAACUCACCAUUCAUUCCACCUACCAAAAGACGAGUGGUACAACUUGUACAUGUAAACUCCUAGCAUUCACAAAUAAUCAAAAACCCUCAAGCUUGACAACUCAACUAAAGGAGCACUUAUGCCCAACAAGAGUUAUAGUCACCAACAAAGUCUUAUUGCAAGCCAACAACAACUUCAAUGCAUGGUAUACGAAGAUCAAGCUAUUCAGCCCUCUUGCAUCUACUUCAAACAUUUCCCCUCUGUAAUAAUGCAAACACUACAACUCGUAGAAAGCUUCACACACUCUUUAUCAAGACAGUGUGAAGCAAAACCAAUUUAUGGUGCCAACAAGAGCUUCAUCAAUGGAGGGCAACCAUAAUUCUCAAAAGCUUCACACACUCUUGAUCAAGACAGUGUGAAGCAAAACCAAUUUAUGGUGCCAACAAGAGCUUCAUCAAAGGAGUUCAACCACAAUUCUUAAAAGCUUCACACACUCUUGAUCAAGACAGUGUGAAGUAAAACCAAUUUAUGGUGCCAACAAGAGCUUCAUCAAUAGAGGGUAACCACAAUUCUCAAAAGCUUCACACACUCUUGAUCAAGACAGUGUAAAACAGAACCAAUUUAUGGUGCCAACAACAAGAGCUUCAUCAAUGGAGGGCAACCACAAUUCUAAAAAACUUCACACACUCUUGAUCAAGACAGUGUGAAGCAAAACCAAUUUAUGGUGCCAACAAAAGCUUCAUCAAAGGAGUUUAACCACAAUUCUCAAAAGUUUCACACACUCUUGAUCAAGAAAGUGUGAAGCAAAACCAAUUUAUAGUGCCAACAAGAGCUUCAUCAAUGGAGGGCAACCACAAUUCUCAAAAGCUUCAUACAUUCUUGAUCAAGACAGUGUGAAGCAAAACUAUUUUAUAGUGCCAACAAAAGCUUCAUCAAAUGAGUUCAACCACAAUUCUCAAAAGCUUCACACACUCUUGAUCAAGACAGUGUGAAGCAAAACCAAUUUAUGGUGUCAACAAAAGCUUCAUCAAUAUAGGGCAACUACAAUUCUCAGACCUUCGGAGCAAAUUCAAUUUAUAUGGUUCAUCCAAACCUUCGGCUACUACAAGGUGUGGCUUGCAUCACAAUCUCUUGCUCAACAGUGUGGAAGCAAAAUUUGUAUAUGUUAUCUUUCCCACAUUUUCAAAUUUCUAGUUUCCCAAAAAAAAAAAAAAGGGAAAUUCAACAAAGCUUCAUCAAUGGAGGACAACUACAAAUUCUCAAAAACUUCACACUAUCUUGAUCAAGAUAGUGUGAAGCAAAAUCAAUUCAUGAUACCCAACAAAAGCUUCAACUCCAAAGUUUCACCUACAAAGCUUCAACUCCAAAGCUUCACCUACAAAGCUUCAACUCCAAAUCUUCACCUACAAAACUUCAACUCCAAAGCUUCACCAACAAAAGCUUCAUCAAUGGAGGACAAUUACAAAUUCUCAAAAGCUUCACACUAUCUUGAUCAAGAUAGUGUGAAGCAAAAUCAAUUCAUGGUAUCCAACAAAAGCUUCAACUCCAAAGCUUCACCUACAAAACUCCAACUCCAAAGCUUCACCUACAAAAACUUCAACACAAAAGUUUCACCCACAAAAGCUUCAACACAAAAGCUUGACCCACAAAAGCUUCACCUACAAAAGCUUGACCCACAAAAGCUUGACCCACAAAAGCUUCAUCCAUAAAAGCUUCACCCACAAAAGCUUCACCUACAAAGCUUCAACACAAAAGCUUCACCUACAAAAGCUUCACACUAUCUUGAUCAAGAUAGUGUGAAGCAAAAUCAAUUCAUGGUGCCCAACAAAGCUUCAACCUCAAAGCUUCACCUACAAAGCUUCAACACCAAAGUUUCACCUACAAAGCUUUAAAAUAUAUAUAUAUAUAUAUAUAUAUAUUUUUUCGGAAAUUCAAAAAUUCAAAAAUUCAAAAAUUCAAAAAUUCGAAAAAAUUCAUGUGGUGGGAACAAAGUAGCUGCGACACCGAAUUCUGUAGGAAGUACUAUGUGAUUCAAUCAGUUGUACAUUAAAUAUUAUUUUCUCUAUUUUUAAACACGUUUAAAAUAUUUUAAGAGGCGUGUAAUGUCAGUUCUAAUCAAGGUCUUUGACACGUGCAUAAUAAUGUGAUUAAAUUAGUUGUCAAAUAAUUAGUUUUUUUUUUUAACAAACGAUAUUAUCUACACUAAGGGAAGGAGUGGUGGGCUUAGCCUCAUAAUGGGCUAGCAAUAAUAUGAUUCAAUCAGUUGUUUAUUAAAUAUUAUUUUCUCUAUUUUUAAUGUAAAUUCAAUAGAAACCGAAUGUAGCUGUUUUGAUUGGUUUAUAAUAUGUUUCUUCUAGCAUGAUUUAAGAUUAUUCUUUUAUUUCAAAUAUUUAACUUUUCUUUUGUCAAUUUACGCAUAUAAAUACAUUUAAAAUAUGUAAAUCGCACGUAUCACGCUAUGAUUCGAAAAACAUCUUGUACACGCGUACAAUAAUAGAGUUGUACAAACUGCCGUACAAUAAUAGAGUUGUAGUUAUUUGAGGGCACUGUCCAAGCACUCACUGUCCAAAGAGCACGAUGGUCCACAAUUUAAUUUCUUUUGAUUUUGUGCUUGACGUGUUCCAAAAGAAUGAGAUCCCAAUUUUUGAAACUACAUAAUCUUAAAUUUUUUUAGUGCUAAGUAAUUAAUUGGUUUAAUAAUAAAUAAAUAAAUAAAAAUGACAAGUAAGUGACAGUUAUCCAUCAUUUUCGAGCCCGAAGAGGCUAUGGGGAAGAAUCGGGUCGGGUAGAUCGGCAUGGAUUCAUUUAGCUCCAUGAAGAAGAAGAAUCUUCAGGUGACAAGGAGGUGCAGUGAGAAAUUACUCAAACCCCUUUGAAGUUAUUAAAAUUUAUGCAAUUGAAUUUUUUGAGUUUAAAUAUUUGAUGAGGAGACUAGAAUUUUCCAUAUAGAAGAAUUCGACACAACGCCUCUUUCUUCUAUCAAUUAAUAUUUUAUUUACGUGUAAAAAAAAAUUAUUUAAGUUUGCUUAUCUAGAUUUAAUACGAAGAUUCAUAUGAAAAAAAACCCUCCUGGGCAAUUUAAUUUUCAGGAGUGUACAUAUGUGUGUAUAAAUCAAUAGAAAACUUCAUUUUAAUCCUUAAAAAAGAUGAGUUUUAGACUAUAACCUUGUGUAAGAUUAAAAUCCAAUUUAGUCCCUAGUACAUUUAAUCAUCUCAUUUAUUAGUUAUAUUUUGAUGUUUUAUUUAUCUUUUUAUUCAUAUUUUAAUGUCUACAUUUAGGCAACUAAUUUUUUUUUUAUAAUAUAUAGUCCGAUAACAAUUUUGUAUGUUCUUCAUUUAGGUACGUUAAUAUAUUUGAAUAUUUCGGUAUAUCCAUCGAUACAAACAUAUAUGUACAUUAAUUCAUCGAUACAAACAUAUACAUACAUUUUGGUACACACAUUUGAGUUUUUAUUUCUUUAUUUUUUUAUUUUUUUAUUUUUUUAUUUUUUUAUUUUUUUAUUUUUUAUAGUGCAACUGACACACCUCGACCGAAGUCAAGACAUGCUGGCCGUCACGUGAGCAUGACGUAGCCAUGUGCACAGUGCGGAAGCGAUAUUUAUAAGGAAAGUACGAAUAAUUCAAAAGCUUCCUAUGAGCUUAAAAACCCCUAAAAAUCACUCAAUAAUUAUUGCAUGAACAGUGACCAUAACGGAGGUAAGUGGUUUGACGUGAAAACGGUGGACUUCUUACCUGAAACUAGUAUGGAUGGACUUGUAUCGACGAGAUGAAGACGAUGGUGGUCUUUGUUUCCUCGAUCUGUGAAGUUUUGAAGGUCCUUGGUGAUGGUCCGUGUGUAGAGAGAGAGAGAGAGCUCGAAGGGAAUAGAGAGAGUGAGUUUGAGGGAAUCACGGAAAAGAAGAAGAAAAAGGGGUGAUUUCUGUGUAUCCCGUGAGUGUAUGUGGUCCACAAGCCACAAUCAUUCAAACACAAACAAACAAAAUGCCAAAAUCAACCAACUUUUAAAAAUUAGGGUAACUAGAUAAACCCUAAUACUCUAAAUAUUUAAAACGCUCAAGGCAUUUUAUUAACUUCACACUCACGAAAAUGAUAAUACGGGACGGGCUGUCACAACAACGAUAUAUUUUACACUAAGACGGCUAAGCCACAUGGACAACUUAAUUUGGUAUCGAAUUCAUCAUCCACGAGAUUCGAACCUAAUACCUCUCAUUUGAGUAUUGAUUUUUAGGUACAUUAAUUCAAUAUACUAUAUUUUGGUACAUACAUUUCAGUACGUACAUUUUGGUACAUACAUUUCGGUAUUAAUAUUUAGGUACAUUAAUUCAAUAUAAUACAUUUCGGUUAAUACAUUUCGGUACAUACAUUUCGGUACGUAUAUUUUGGUACAUAUAUUUCGGUACGUACAUUUCGAUACUGUAUUUCGGUACGUACAUUUUGGUACAUACAUUUCGGUAUUAUAUUUAGGUACAUUCAUAUAAUACAUUUCGGUACAUAUAUUUAGGUUCAUUAUAAUAUAUUUCGGUACAAUCAUGUAGGUACAAAAAAGUCAAUUAUAUAUAUUUCGGCACAGUACAAUCAUGUAUUUAUAUAUUUUGUAUCACAAAUUUCUUUUAAUAUUUUCUUAUUUAUGUUCAUUUAUAAUUAAAGAACUAAAUAUAUGCAUAUUAAUAAAAUUAAAAUUUAAUGUGGAGAGAUUAAAUAAAAAUGCACAUUAAAUAAAAAAAAUUGAAUAUAAAUUUUGAUAAGAGUACACUUCAAGGGAUUAAAUUGAAUAUGUAAUCUAACACUAAUUUUUUUUUUAAAUUUUAAUCUUUUGCAAGGACUAAUGUUCAAAAACCCUAUAAAUCAAUUUCACGUCGGCAGAGCUGCUAUGGGGACCUCCGUACACACACAUAAUUUAUUCAUUCGGUCAUCAGCUCAGGAACCUCUCUGUAAACUUCUCCACACACUCCAGUACCUCUCUCUCUCUCUCUCUCUCUCUCUCUCUCUCUCUCUCUCUCUCUCUCUCUCUCUCUCUCAUCUUCUCCACUCCCCACUCUUCUCAGUUUUGGCAACGACUAAUGAUAGCCAAUAAUUUAUUCAUUCAGUCAUCAGCUCAGGAACCUCUCUGUAAACUUCUCCACACACUCCAGCUACCUCCCCCCCUCUCUCUCUCUCUCUCUCUCUAUCAUCUUCUCCACUCCUCACUCUGUUAGUUCUAUACAACUCAUCCAUCGCUUGGGGACUGACCUUGGGCUUUUCAGUUGCCAAGCAACUCCAGCAUCCGUUCUGAUCAAACUCAAAGUUGUAACUAAGGAGUUUGGAGAAAAUAAAAAGAUGAUCAAGGUUGACGUAAUUCACAAAGAAAUUAUUAAACCAUCCUCUCCAACUCCUCACCACCUUAGACAUUUGUGCCUCUCCCUUUUUGACCAGUUUAUACUUGAACUGUAUAUGCCACAAGUUCUCUUCUAUCCUAGCAGCAGUGAUGAACAUUCUUUGGUCGCUGAAAAGUCCGAGCUUCUAAAGAAAUCAUUAUCUGAGGCCC